GCUUACGGCCACACCGCCUGAUUCCACUCCCCGAUCUCGUUUGAUCUCGGAAGCUAUAGGUUGGGCCUGGUUAGUACUUGGAUGGGAGACCGCCUGGGAAUACCAGGUGCUGUAAAGC
rnacentral:rRNA from 1 species